rnacentral:rRNA from 1 species
CGACUGCGUGAAGGCGGAGUCGCUAGUAAUCGCGAAUCAGCAACGUCGCGGUGAAUGCUUUCCCGGGCCUUGUACACACCGCCCGUCAAGUCAUGGAAGCCGGGAGUGCCCAAAGUCACGUCAUUUCAGGCGUGCCUACGGCAAGUUCGGUGACUGGGACUAAGUCGUAACAAGGUAGCCGUAGGAGAACCUGCGGCUGGAUCACCUCCUUU